rnacentral:lncRNA from 1 species
CAGCCCCAAAAUAGAAAAAUGCGGAAAUAUAAACCUACUUUAUUCUAGGCUAAUUCUAAACUAUCCUCCAUUGCUUUCUCUACCCGAUGUUCCGGGCCUUGAUCGUGUGCCGUCUUCAAGUACAUGAUACUUCAGGGCAUCCCCCGGUGAAUAAAUACAAUUCCUUCGGGGCAUUCCCCAGCAAAUAAAUACAAUGUCAAUCUCAUGCGAUAAACUAGAAAACUUCCAACACGUUCAACAUUCCACGCAUUCAACCAAAACAUCAUUCCUAAGUUUGUCUACCCGAACCUAAACUUUGCCUAUCCCAUUUCAACAUAUCAUAAAUCUAUCACAUUCAUGCUUAUUCCGAACUUAAGCAAAACAACGAUAAACCAACAUUAAUCUAACUUCAACCUUUUUAUCAUUCUCGCAAUUCCACUCCUCCCCACAAAUUUCCUCUCAAUCUAUGGUUAAUUAAUUCUUUGAUUAACAAUUCAUUUUUUCUCUUCAACAUACAAAACCUAUAUCAAUCAAUACACAACAAAGAUACAAACAUACCAAACACACAAAUCAUUCACGAUUACGUAAAAUUAAAGAAAGAGAAGAUAGAAUUGGACCUCAAAAGCUUUCGAUUGACUUAAGAAGAGAAAAUAAGAGCCGUCUUGAAACCUCGAAGAAUACCACUAAUAUCGACUCUCCAAAUCAGUUAUGAACUCAUCACCGCGAUAAACCCAAAAUUUGAUUCAAAGUGAAAUCCAAGAAGAACCAGAGACAAGUACACAGUCAUCCAAAAAAUCAAAACCCGUACACGAAAUCUCACCUAAUUCGACCCAAAUCUCAUCGGAAUCAAACCAAAAGGAUCGAUAUAACACUGAUAUAUCCCCUUUAAAAUGAAUGAGAAUAAUCUUUGGAAUUUUUAC